rnacentral:ncRNA from 1 species
GGUUAAGCGACUAAGCGUACACGGUGGAUGCCUAGGCAGUCAGAGGCGAUGAAGGACGUGCUAAUCUGCGAAAAGCGCCGGUGAGCUGAUAUGAAGCGCUAUCAGCCGGCGAUGUCCGAAUGGGGAAACCCAGUGCAAUCCGUUGCACUAUCCGGGCCUGAAUUCAUAGGGUCCGGAGGCGAACCGGGGGAACUGAAACAUCUCAGUACCCCGAGGAAAAGAAAUCAACCGAGAUUCCCCCAGUAGCGGCGAGCGAACGGGGAGCAGCCCAGAACCUGAAUCAGUGUGUGUGUUAGUGGAAGCGUCUGGAAAGGCGCGCAAUAAAGGGUGACAGCCCCGUACACCAAAACGCAUAGACUGUGAGUUCGAUGAGUAGGGCGGGACACGUGGUAUCCUGUCUGAACAUGGGGGGACCAUCCUCCAAGGCUAAAUACUCCUGACUGACCGAUAGUGAACCAGUACCGUGAGGGAAAGGCGAAAAGAACCCCGGCGAGGGGAGUGAAAGAGAACCUGAAACCGUGUACGUACAAGCAGUGGGAGCC